GAUGAACGCUGGCGGCGUGCCUAAUACAUGCAAGUCGAGCGAACGGACGAGAAGCUUGCUUCUCUGAUGGUAGCGGCGGACGGGGGAGUAACACGUGGAUAACCUACCUAUAAGACUGGGAUAACUUCGGGAAACCGGAGCUAAUACCAGAUGAUAUUUUGAACCGCAUGGUUCAAAAGUGAAAGACGGUCUUGCUGUCACUUAUAGAUGGAUCCGCGCUGCAUUAGCUAGUUGGUAAGGUAACGGCUUACCAAGGCAACGAUGCAUAGCCGACCUGAGAGGGGGAUCGGCCACACUGGAACUGAGACGCGGUCCAGACUCCUACGGGAGGCAGCAGUAGGGAAUCUUCCGCAAUGGGCGAAAGCCUGACGGAGCAACGCCGCGUGAGUGAUGAAGGUCUUCGGAUCGUAAAACUCUGUUAUUAGGGAAGAACAUAUGUGGAAGUAACUGUGCACAGCUUGACGGUACCUAAUCAGAAAGCCACGGCUAACUACGUG
rnacentral:rRNA from 1 species